GGCAGCAGCUAAGAAUAUUCCGCAAUGGACGAAAGUCUGACGGAGCGACGCCGCGUGGAUGAUGAAGGCCGGUAGGUUGUAAAAUCCUUUUAUGACUGAGGAAUAAGCAGGGUGAGAGAAACGCCCUGUGGUGACUGUAGGUCAUGAAUAAGCAACGGCUAAUUACGUGCCAGCAGCCGCGGUAACACGUAAGUUGCGAGCGUUGUUCGGAAUUAUUGGGCGUAAAGGGUAUGUAGGCGGUUCUGCAAGUCUGGUGUGAAAUACCGGGGCUCAACCCCGGAACUGCGUUGGAAACUGCAGGACUUGAAUCGCUGAGGGGCAGCCAGAAUUCCAGGUGUAGGGGUGAAAUCUGUAGAUAUCUGGAAGAAUACCAAUGGCGAAGGCAGGCUGCCAGCAGAUGAUUGACGCUGAGGUACGAAGGUGCGGGGAGCAAACAGGAUUAGAUACCCUGGUAGUCCGCACAGUCAACUAUGUACACUGGGUGUCCGUUCAUGAGAAUGGGUGCCGAAGCAAACGCGAUAAGUGUACCGCCUGGGGAGUAUGCCCGCAAGGGUGAAACUCAAAGGAAUUGACGG
rnacentral:rRNA from 1 species